AGCCGGAUGCGGGUAGCUUGGCCGUUCCUUGCUCUGCGCAUCGCUUGAAAACCGGCGGUCAUCCUGCAGUGUACGCUGCCAGCGUGCUUUCUUGCCAGAGCCGCCUCCCCUGCUGGUGAUGACCAUAUGCAGCCAAUGCUGAUGUGAACCCGAGUGAUGAACAAAUGCAGCAUGCCUGGAAAAGUACUUCAAAGCACACCCCAUCUGGCUGACUGCACUACCUCAAGAAAACUGCCUUUCUUCCAUCUGCAAGUUCCUAAGAAGUUACUUUAUGAAGCAAGCCAGCAGGGCGUACGUGUGAGGCAUGGCAGCAUGGAGAACAAAUAAACAUGAGUAUUUGG